GGUUUCGUAGCUCAGUCGGUAGAGCAACGGACUGAAAAUCCGUGUGUCGGCGGUUCGAUCCCGCCCGAAACCA
rnacentral:tRNA from 2 species